CAGCAGCCGCGGGAAUACGUAGGGUGCGAGCGUCAAUCGGAAUUACUGGGCGUAAAGCGUGCGCAGGCGGUUCGUUAAGACAGAUGUGAAAUCCCCGGGCUUAACCUGGGAACUGCAUUUGUGACUGGCGAGCUAGAGUAUGGCAGAGGGGGGUAGAAUUCCACGUGUAGCAGUGAAAUGCGUAGAGAUGUGGAGGAAUACCGAUGGCGAAGGCAGCCCCCUGGGCCAAUACUGACGCUCAUGCACGAAAGCGUGGGGAGCAAACAGGAUUAGAUACCCCAGUAGUCCCUGUCUCUUAUAC
rnacentral:rRNA from 1 species